rnacentral:rRNA from 1 species
AACGAACGCUGGCGGCAUGCCUAACACAUGCAAGUCGAACGAAGCCCCCGAUUUCGGUUGGUGGGUUAGUGGCGCACGGGUGCGUAACGCGUGGGAAUUUGCCCCUCGGUUUGGAAUAACAGUUAGAAAUGACUGCUAAUACCGGAUAAUGACGUAAGUCCAAAGAUUUAUUGCCGAGGGAUGAGCCCGCGUAGGAUUAGCUAGUUGGUGAGGUAAAAGCUCACCAAGGCGACGAUCCUUAGCUGGUUUGAGAGGAUGAUCAGCCCCACUGGGACUGAGACACGGCCCCGACUCCUACGGGAGGCAGCAGUGGGGAAUUUUGGACAAUGGGCGAAAGCCUGAUCCAGCAAUGCCGCGUGCAGGAUGAAGGCCUUCGGGUUGUAAACUGCUUUUGUACGGAACGAAAAGUCUCGGGAUAAUACCCUGGGACCCUGACGGUACCGUAAGAAUAAGCACCGGCUAACUACGUG